UGCACACAUGACUGUACGUCGCUUUGAAUAAAAGCUUCUGCUAAAUGGCAUAUA
rfam:Salmo salar isolate Sally breed double haploid chromosome ssa11, whole genome shotgun sequence.